rnacentral:lncRNA from 1 species
AAGUUAAUCAAAAUCCCGCUCACCCAAAAAAUGAUUUUUUGUUACUCGCGCAUUACCCCCUCUUCUUCUCAUUUCUGUCGUGUGCCCUAAAUCACCAAAUAAUAGUUUGUUUUUCUUAGUUGAAAUCCCCCAAAUUUCCCAUUUCCAACAAUACCAAUCAAUACACCUACACCAAUCACACUUCUUUUUCCUUUUCAUUUCACUGGACUGAAACCCUAGAUGAGAAGAAAUCCUAGAUGAGAAGAAAUCGGAGGAAGAGGAGUUGAAAGAUAAAGAAAUCGGAGGAGGGGGAGUAAGGAGGUUUUUGCGCUUUGUUUUCCCCNNNNN